UGGCGACACCGCGCGGAACCCGAAAGCCGUUCUCAGUUCGGAUCGGAGUCUGCAACCCGACUCCGUGAAGCUGGAUUCGCUAGUAAUCGCGCAUCAGCCAUGGCGCGGUGAAUACGUUCCCGGGCCUUGUACACACCGCCCGUCAAGCCAUGGGAGCCGGGGGUGCUUGAAGUGCGUCGCCGCAAGGCGCGCCCUAGAGCAAAACCGGUGACUGGGGCUAAGUCGUAACAAGGUACC
rnacentral:rRNA from 1 species